rnacentral:lncRNA from 1 species
GGGCCUGUUGCGACGGAUACUUUCCGCAGGCUCCGGGAUAACGGCACCCAGUGGGCGGGCACUCAAGCAGAAGGGGCGGGGCCUAUUGAGGGGACCAGCGAGAGCCGUAGACCCAGGGAGAUCAACGCAGAAACAACGAGAACUAAGCAGAGAGGGUGACUAGAGUCCUAUAAGGUUGGUGUCAUGACCCUCAGUUUACCAGGAGGAAAUGGGAGCUUAGAGAGAUGAUGUGAGCUGUUCAAGAUCGCAUGGCCAGAUCAUCUACCCUGACGAGGAGCAAUGGAGGUGAGGAUGCGCGGAGAGAAGGACACCACUGAGACACAAGAGGGCGCCCGUCGCCCUGAAUCCAGCCUGGAAUUGUUCCAUGGUUUCC